CAUAGCGACUAUCGUGGCAUAUCAAUAAGCGGAGGAAAAGAAACUAACAUAGGAUUCCCCUUAGUAACGGCGAGUGAAGCGGGAAGAGCUCAAAUUUGAAAUCUUCAAGGGUUCUACCUUUACGAAUUGUAGUUUAAAGAAGUGCUUUUCUGUUGGAGUUUUGGUAAAAGUUCUUUGGAAUAGGACAUCAUAGAGGGUGAGAAUCCCGUAUUUGACCAGUUACUUUCCAGCUGUGUGAUACACUUUCAAAGAGUCGGAUUGUUUGGGAAUGCAGUCCAAAAUGGGUGGUAAAUUUUAUCUAAAGCUAAAUAUUGGCGAGAGACCGAUAGCGAACAAGUACCGUGAGGGAAAGAUGAAAAGAACUUUGAAAAGAGAGUUAAACAGUACGUGAAAUUGUCAAAAGGGAAGCGUCUGACACCAGUGUUGUUUUCUCGAAAAUCAAUUAAAAAUGGUGAUUCAUGCAGGUAGUAUUGACCUUCAUCAGCUUGCUGCUUUCUUUUCGGAAAUUAUUGAAUGCACUUUUCAGUUAACAAGUCAACAUCAAUUUCUUUUGUUGUAAAAGGGUAAGAGGAAGGUGGCUUACGCUUCGGCGUAAGUGUUUAUAGCCUUUUACCUCUGCAAUCGGAGAGAUUGAGGACAGCAGCGUAGACUCUUCGGGGUUAGAUACACUUGUGCUAAGCUAUAGCCUUGUAUAGACAACUUGUUGACUAUGCUCAGUCAUGUAGCUUACUCGCUUGUGCUAUUUUACCUACGCUUAGGAUGUUGACGCGCGUGUGUGCGUG
rnacentral:rRNA from 1 species